rnacentral:rRNA from 1 species
CGGAUUAGAUACCCUGGUAGUCACGCCGUAAACGAUGAUAACUCGACGUUGGCAAUAUACCGUUCAGCGUCCAAGCGAAAGCGUUAAGUUAUCCACCUGGGGAGUACGAUCGCAAGGUUGAAACUCAAAGGAAUUGACGGGGGCCCGCACAAGCGGUGGAGCAUGUGGUUUAGUUCGAUGAUACGCGAGGAACCUUACCAGGGCUUAAAUGGGGAUUGACAGGCUGGGAAACUAGCCCUCCUUCGGGCAAUCUUCAAGGUGCUGCAUGGUUGUCGUCAGCUCGUGCCGUGAGGUGUUGGGUUAAGUCCCGCAACGAGCGCAACCCCUACUGUUAGUUGCCAGCGGAUAAUGCCGGGGACUCUAGCAGAACUGCCGGCGCAAGCCGUGAGGAAGGUGGGGAUGACGUCAAAUCAUCACGGCCCUUACGUCCUGGGCUACACACGUGCUACAAUGGUCGAUACAGAGGGCAGCCACCUGGUGACAGGGAGCAAAUCCUUAAAAUCGAUCUCAGUUCGGAUUGGAGUCUGCAACUCGACUCUAUGAAGCUGGAAUCGCUAGUAAUCGCGCAUCAGCCAUGGCGCGGUGAAUACGUUCCCGGGCCUUGUACACACCGCCCGUCAAGCCAUGGAAGUUGGAAGUGCCUAAAGUGCGUAACCGUAAGGAGCGCCCUAGGGCAAAGCCGAUAACUGGGGCUAAGUCGUAACAAG